UACAGAGGUCCCAAGCGUUGUUCGGAUUUACUGGGCGUAAAGGGUGCGUAGGUGGCGGGGUAAGUCUGGUGUGAAAGCUCCGAGCUCAACUCGGAAAAGCAUUGGAAACUAUCCCGCUGGAGGGUCGGAGGGGAGACUGGAAUUCUCGGUGUAGCAGUGAAAUGCGUAGAUAUCGAGAGGAACACCAGUGGCGAAGGCGAGUCGCUGGACGACUCCUGACACUGAGGCACGAAAGCUAGGGGAGCAAACAGG
rnacentral:rRNA from 1 species